UCCACCAGGAAAGACCUUCAGCAUUUAUAUACAUUCCAGAGUCCUUCCUUCUUUCAAAGAGUAGCGAUAAUGCCACCUGCCUCAAAGAACUUUCCCUGAAAGAGAUACAGAAGAGAGGACUAUAAUCUUAUAGGGAGGGGAAGAGAGAGAGAGAACCUCAAACAGGCUCCACACCCAGCAUGAAGCCCCACGUAGGGAUUGAUCUCACGACCCUGAGAUCAUGACCUAAACUGAAAUCAAGAGUCAGAUGCCCAGCUGAUGGAGCCACCCAAGCACCACUAUUUUUAAUCUUUUUGAUUUGACCUUUAGAUCCACAGGAGUUGGUUAUCAUAAUCCUUGGUUUGUGACACUCUUUCAUCAUCUCAUUCAUCUUCCAAUCCUGACGUUUUAAUAUGAGAACUGGAAUAUAAUACAUAGAGGGUGUAUUCAAUGAAUUUACACUUUCAGAAUGAAUACUGUGUCAGUUAGAAUUUUAAGAUGGCUUUUGUAACCUUUGCUCUCCCAUGUUACUCCCAUGAAGAUUUUAUUUUUUAUACCAAAGGGAAUUAUCUUGGUGGACCUAAUCUAAUCACCUGAGCCAUUUAAAGGCAGAACCUCCUCCUGCUGAUGGCAGGAAAGGAAGUCAGGAAGAUUCCAAGAGUGAUAAGGACUGGGAUACUCUGUUUCUGGUUUGAAGAUGAAGGCAGGCACAUAAGAAGGACUAUGAAUGGUCUCUAGGAGAAGAGAGAGAUCCACAGUUGGCAGCCAGCAAGACAGUGGGGACCUCAGAUGUAUACUACAAAGAUGUGGAUUCUGUCAAAAACCUGAAUGAGCUUGGACAUGAAUUAUUCUCCACAGCCUUAGUAUCAGAGCCCAACUUGGAGGACAUCUCAGUUUCAGCCAUGCAAGAACCUCAGCAGAGAAGCCAUCCAACCCCACACAGCAUUCUGAGCUGUCAAACUGCGAGAAUGACUGGGUAUCUUUUUAAAGCUGCUAUGUUUGUGGUAAUUUGUUAUACAGCAAUAGAAAACUAAUACACACAAUCACCUUUUCCUUUUAUUUUUAUAACAAUGUCAUAAGUAAUAUAUUAUGAGCCUACUACUAAUAAAUUUGUUAUAAAUAUACAGGACAGCUAUUAAUCUGGCCUAUGAAGAGUUGGGUUUUCCUUGACUGUAGGAAUUAAUUUCUAAUUUGUGGAAAGUGUCAAAUGUCAAAUUAGUUAUAUUCUUGCUCCAAGUGUGGUAUUAGCAGAGAACAAUUUUAUCCUGGUUCAAGCUGGACUAUUUCUGUCCUGAAAUAGGAGACCCUUCUUUCCUAACAGGGAAUGCAAUUUUCAGCACUGACAUGUGCCAAGCUAAAGGGACAAGUGAGGACAGAGGGUCUUCCAUAAUAGGCAUCAGAAGUCAGAUCGGAUGUGGGUCACCAAAAGUAAGGUUUUUAAGAAAAUUCUUUGAUCUGUCUUUCCCAGAUAUCCCCAAAAGGCAAGCAUUGGGCUUGCAUUAAGCUCAAUGUUGCAUUAAGCCUAGUUGGAACAGGCAAUUGAAAUAAUAUCUGUUAGGAGUUGGGGAAUAUAGGAGUCACAGCAGUAUCUAACUAAAUGAAUGGAGAAGAAAACAUUAGAGGAAUUUUAAAGAUGGGACUUAUUACAGGGCAGAAUGAUGGGAGAGAUGGACAUUCACAGUGAUUUUCUUAGCUGUUUUGAAGAGCUAUGGACCACCAUGCACAGAGGGCAGUAGGCAUUGAGCCAUCAAAUAUCCUAAGUACUAGAAAGUUUGUUUGAGGAGCAUGCCAUUGGCCUCAGAGAGGUCAGCCCAAGACAGUCUUAGAUGAUAUAGGUCCUGGGCAUGAAAGCAGACCCUGAAGGAGGGAAAUAUUCCCUCAGCCACAAUAAUGCCAAUAUUGUUUCUACACACACACACACACACACACACACACACACACGCUAUGCAGGGUGGCGUGGGGAAGAGUGAAAGAG